GACGAACGCUGGCGGCGUGCUUAACACAUGCAAGUCGAGCGGUAAGGCCUUUCGGGGUACACGAGCGGCGAACGGGAGAGUAACACGAGGGCGAGCGGCACUGCACCUCGGGAUAAGCCUGGGAAACUGGGACUAAUACUGGAAACGACCUCCUAUCGCAGGGGGGGGGGGGGAAAGAUUAAGCGGUGCAGGAUGGGCACGCGGCCGAUCAGCUUGUUGGUGGGGGAGUGGCCUACCAAGGCGACGACGGGUAGCCGACCUGAGAGGGUGACCGGCCACACUGGGACUGAGACACGGCCCAGACUCCUACGGGAGGCAGCAGUGGGGAAUAUUGCACAAUGGGCGGAAGCCUGAUGCAGCGACGCCGCGUGCGGGAUGACGGCCUUCGGGUUGUAAACCUCUUUCGGCAGGGACGAAGCGCGAGUGACGGUAACUGCAGAAGAAGCACCGGCUAACUACGUG
rnacentral:rRNA from 1 species